CCUGGAGAGCACACUGCAAGCACUGAGAGCGACGUCUGCAGACUGAGAGCCUUUGAGGUGUCACAUCAUAGGAAUGCAGGGAAACAGGCACAACUCUCUCACGCGCGCGCACCGUCAAUCCCACCUUCCAGCCUUUGGAGGAAACCAGAAAACCAAGAGGAAACCUCAUGGUAACAACAAGCAAAACUCCGGCAGUUACUCAAGAUCAGGAUCAAACUGGGGACCAGGGCCGUUUCUCUCCUCCUUAUGCCCGACCUCCCCCACCUUCAAAUGACUCCGCCCUCUCACCACAAUGCUCCACCCCAAACCAUCCAAAUCAUUUACAACCUUUCUUAAAAAAAGUUAAACAUUUUUAAUAAUCAUUGCAAUUUUUUUCUGAAUUCAACUAUUUAAGCACAUACUAUUUAUAAAAAUUCAGCAGAAAAACAGGUAAAUAAUUUAAAUGAGCAAGGGCGAGGACAGCGGUGGGGCAGGGGGCGUUCAAUGGUGCCCCCAUUGAGAGUAUACGUUCACAAGCAAUUUAGAGACAAAAUACUUAAAUGUUAAACAGCCUACAUAGCAAAGGUCUAAAUUAUCAUAUAUUCAUAUUACAAUUUAAUUCCUUUUUUAGCCCCUGUUUUGAAACAUGCUUCCCUAACAGGUCUCAAUAAAACCAUGUUGUAUCAAAA